CCCUGCCUAGGCCAGCCUGCACUCAGCUCAGAGCAGGCUAUUGGUCCAGCGGGGUCAAGUAAAAAAGCCAGAGCCAGCUUUGGUGAGACUGGAGUCACUGCAACAGGCACCCCUCAGUGGAGGAUGGUCUGCUAUCCCCACUGGUAUUCAACUUCAGAAUUUCCUUGGGUUAUGCCACCGGGUCAUUUCAAAUAAACACCUUCCCUGAUUAUGUUACAGCCUGGCUAUUAUUGGUUGAGGGCAGCGAGAAUCUACAUCGAUGAUGGAAUCAUGGAGUAAAAACAACACAGAUUGUCUUUUUACAGAGUUAAAUAAGUUUGCUUUAGAAAGAGAACCCAUGUAUAUCCCACAGAAUGACUCAAGAUUGUGAGUAUUAGGUACAGUCCAUCAAAUACACUAACUUUCAUUUCUUUGAUUGAUGGAUUUUUAGAAAAAAAUAAAAUAAAUGUUUUGCUAA